rnacentral:lncRNA from 1 species
UUGUGUUUCUAACAUAAUAGUAUUGAAAGCAAAGUCAACCUGAAAGUAGCUGACUUUCACAACGAUUGACUUGGGCUUUGAUCAAUUCAAUCCGGGAACGUAACUCCAUACAAAAGAAUCACAUAGCUUAAAACGAUAGAACUGCCAAAAAGAAGAAAAACUUGGUGAGAGAAAGCUUUGGAGAACAUGAAACUACUUACUCUCAUGCUGCUGCUCUCUUCGAUUUACUACAGCAGAGUCCUGGCCGACUUCUUGCGCGGAAGCACUGUCACAAC